CAAUCUUAAAAAAAACAAAAAAAAACUUCCAUGCUCUCUUCCCCUCCCCCUUUUUCUUUCUGUCGAUUGGGUUCCUUAGAGACCCGCCCUACCGCCAACGACGACGGCGGUGACCACCGUGUACAGCGACGGAGCGCAACCUAGGUACGCCUACUUUAAAAUUUUUUUAUGUUUCUUUGUUAAAAAAAGGUUUUCUUGAAAAAAAAAGGAAAAAAAAAACAAUGAAUAAAUAUGAAAAAAAACAAGGUAAGCAGAGAACAAAAAGAAGAAAAAAGGAAAAAAAGAACAAAACUAAACCUCUUGAACCUUCCUUCUCUUUUUUGUUUUCAUAUCCGUUUUUAUUUCCAAUAUCUGUGUUACAAUCUUUCUUUUAAAAAAAAUAAACCCCCCAUUUUACAACAUUUUUAAUGGCUUUUUAUAGCCAUCUUUUACAAGUUUUUUUAUUACUUUUUCCAUAUUUUCCCGUCUUACUUGUUUGCGCUGUUUUUGCAGGGUAUGGGGGUGACUGGUGGAGCAGGUGAUGGUGGCUGGUGUCAGAGGAAAGUGGGGAGGUGGCUAGGGUUUUUUUUUGCUGGAAAAUGUUUAGUAGGUUAGUUUAGGUGGGCUGUUGGUUUAGAUUGGGUUUGAUGAUGUUGGGUUGAUGAAAUUGGGGUGGGUAUUUGGUUGUAUUUGGGCCAAAAUUGGCCUACAACAGCUGUCCCUCUUUGCUCUUUAUCGUGUAACGGGAAUAGAGCAAAGACAUAAUGAAAGGCCAAUUUUGCCCGGUCUUGCCAAUUGUUGACUUCUUUGGCGCUCUUCUUUUUCGAGCAGUCUCUUACUAGUCCAUCGCAUCUUGUAGCUUUGGUUCAGUUCAUUGCAUCUUCUGAUAUGGGCCUUGUAGCUUCAAUCUACUUCAAUGUAGUUUCAAGGAUAUGAGAUUUGUGGCUUCCAUCUACUUCACUGUAACUUCAGAAGGAUAAGAUCUACAGCUUCAAUCUUCUCUUCUAUUGCUUCCGUGAGAUAAGGUUUUGGUCUUCUCUUCUGCCACUUCAGAAAGGCAAGAUCUGAUAUCCUCGACCAGCUCCACUGCAACUUCAGGGAGACAAAAUCUGGUGCCUUCAAUCGGCUCCAAUCUUUGUUCUUUACUCGGUGUGUGAUCCUGAGCUCAACUUAUUUCUCGCAAUAUGAAUUGACUUUUAAAAACUAGACAUUAAAAACAAAAAUUGAAAAAUAGCUCAGCACGUGAGCAAAGGCUCAACUCACUUCUCGCAAUAUGAGUUGAUUUUUGAAAACAGAAUUUGCCAAACAGAUUUUGGAAACACCUUGGUAUGUAACCCGAGGCUCAACUCACCUCUCGUAAUAUGAGUUGAUUUUUGAAAAGCAUAAAUUGAAAAAACAUUAAUUGAAAAUACCUCAGCGUGCCUCGAGGCUCAACUCACCUCUCGCAAUAUGGGUUGAUUUUGACAAACAGAAAUUGAAAAACAGAAAUUGAAAAGACCUCAGCAUGUGAGCCGAGGCUCAACUCACCUCUCGCGAUAUGAGUUGAUUUUUGACAAACAGAAAUUGAAAUUACCUCAGCAUGUCCUGAGGCACAACUCACCUCUCGCAAUAUGAGUUGAUUUUUUUUUAAGAGCAGAAAUUGGAAAGCAGAAAUCGAAAAUACCUCAGUGUGCCCUGAGGCUCAACUCACCUCUCGCAAUAUGAGUUGAUUUUUUUGACAAACAUAAAUUGAAAUUACCUCAGCGUGUCCUGAGGCUCAACUCACCUCUCGCAAUAUGAGUUGAUUUUUUUGAAAAGCAAAAAUUGAAAAGCAGAAAUUGAAAAUACCUCAGCAUGCCCUGAGGCUCAACUCACCUCUCGCAAUAUGAGCUGAUUUUUGAAAAACAGAAAUUGAAGAAAACAGAAAUUGAAAUUACCUCAGCAUGUCCUGAGGCUCAACUCACCUCUCGCAAUAUGAGUUGAUUUUUGAAAAACAUAAAUAAAACAUCAUAAUACCAAAACAUGUCAUCUGGUGGAAUUCAUGUGUCUUUUCAGCUAUCAUCACAUCCUCUUGCUCUACUGGAGUACCUGUAUAUGUCAUGCAUGAUGUCAUCAUGAUAUGCACAUGUUUGUCUUAAAUGCAUUUAUGCCUACAUGAUUAUGAUAUGAGCUUUAGGCAUGUUUGUCAUAUAUCCCUUUUUCGUCACGAUUUUUGAUGAUCUGUGUUCAUUGUUUCGACUCUUGACUUUCUCUUCAGGCUCUGUACCCGUCCUCAAGCUUCACGAAUAAUCUGUAUUUCCCAGAUAUCACUCUUUUGCCCCUGGUUGAGUUUUGUCCUUGCGUUGAGGCUCUUGUACUUAUCAAAUUCUUACCAUGGGUAAUGCUUAACAUUUCUUUUGUUUAGAGUAUGUCAUUUCACUAUUUAUCAUGUAAAUAGACCACAUAAUGAGAUGCAUGAAAAAAAUGGUCAGGUAGGGACAAAAGGAUACCUCGCAUUUAUUCAUUUCAAAUGUAGUAAACAAAGAAAGUUAACCAAUAAUAGUAAAAAAGUGUCAUAAAGAGAAAAGGGAUUGCAUUCAACGAAUACAAAUGCUCUAGAUAUUCAAUGCAUGAACUUUUCUACGUUUCUCAAUCAAGAAUCUUUUCGAGCAUGGCUUGUUGCGUAGAAGAUUUUGAGCUUUCAGAAAUGCUUCAAAUACUGUAGUCUCACUAUUUGACCCACCGUUCAAAACGCCUUGUUCUUUAAGCCCGGGUUUGCUUCAUUAGAAUGCCCUUUCGAUUUUUCAUCCUAAUCUUUUGUGUUUAAUCAAGAUGCCCUUUUUGGGUUUUCACAUUGAUCCCUUUUUUCUCUUUUUUUUAAGAUGCCCUUUUCGGGUUUUCAUCUUGGUUUCCUUUUUCAAGCAUAAUAUUUCUUUACAACAUCUGAGUUCACUAGACUCAGUAACUCCUUCCCAUCCAUCUCGGUGAGAAUCAAAGCUCCGCCCGAGAAUGCCUUCUUUACGACGUAUGGUCUUUCCCAAUUCGGUGCCCAUUUUCCUCGCAGGUCUUUUUGUAUUGGGAGAAUCUUUCUCCGCACGAGUUCUCCUUCGCGGAAUUCUCUUGGCCGUAUUUUCUUGUCAUGAGCCGCGAUCAUUCUCUUCUGGUACAUUUGUCCAUGACAAAUUGCCUUUAGACGUUUUUCUUCGAUGAGGUUUAACUGGUCAUAUCGAGCUCGAACCCAUUGUGUUUCCUCUAAUUUCAACUCUAUUAAGACUCGUAGAGAGGGGAUCUCAACUUCGAUAGGUAGCACAGCUUCCAUUCCAUAGACUAGAGAGAAAGGAGUUGCCCCCGUAGAUGUCCGUACAGAUGUGCGAUAUGCAUACAAAGCAAAUGGUAGCUUCUCGUGCCAGUCUUUAUAUGUCUCAGUCAUUUUCCCAAUAAUCUUCUUAAUAUUCUUGUUGGCCGCUUCAACCGCUCCAUUCAUCUUUGGGCGAUAGGGCGAGGAGUUAUGAUACUUUAUUUAAAAUUGCUCACACACUUCUUUCAUCAUCUUGUUGUUCAAAUUCAAGGCGUUAUCUGAAAUGAUUCUUUCAGGCAAACCAUAUCGACAAAUGAUUUCAUUUUUCAAAAACCUGCAAACCGCAGUCUUCGUCACAUUGGCAAACGAUGUGGCUUCUAUCCAUUUUGUGAAGUAAUCAAUGACCACAAAAAUGAACCGGUGUCCAUUGGAAGAUUUUGGGGAAAUUGGCUCUCUAACAUCCAUGCCCCACAUAGAAAAAGGCCACGGAGAAGUCAUGACGUGAAGGGGCAAAGGGGCUACAUGAAUUUUAUCACCAUAAAUUUGACAUUUGUGGCAUUUUCGUGUGAAAUUAAUACAGUCACUUUCUAUCGACAGCCAGUAAUAUUUGAGUCUUAUAAUCUUCCUGGCCAUAGUGAAACCAUUGGCAUGUGUCCCGCAAAUUCCUUCAUGGACAUCUUUAAGUAUUUUUCUGGCUUCAACUGUAUCCACGCAUCUCAAGAGCACCUGAUCUUUUCCUCUUUUGUAUAGGAUGUCCCCAUCAAGAAUAAAUUUCGCUGCCAUUCUUCUGAUUGUUCUUCUGUCGUUCACAUUUGCUUGCUCGGGAUACCUUUGAUUCUUGAUGUAUUCUAAGAUAUCAUGGAACCAUGGCUGCCCAUCUGGCUCUUUCUCAAUGCUGAAACAAUGUGCAGGGACUUUAUAUAUGCUCAUUUGAAGAGACAUUAUUUCUGUUUCUCUGUUUGCUUUAAACAUUGAAGCCAAAGUGGCCAGGGCAUCAGCUAACUGGUUUUCUUCUCGUGGAAAGUAAUUAAAAGUUAUUUCUUUGAAUUCUUUAAUCAACCCUGCCACGAGAUCACUGUAUUUGACUAAUUUUGAAUCCCUCACUUCCCAAUUUCCAUGGAUCUGAUAAAUCACUAAUGCUGAGUCUCCGUAUACCUCUAAAGUUUGGAUGUUUUGUUCAAUUGCUGCACGAAGUCCCAUGAUACAAGCUUCAUAUUCCGCUAUGUUAUCGGUACAAAAGAAAUUCAGCCUGGCGGUGAACGGAUAAUGGUUCCCUUCUGGUGAUACUAAGACUGCUCCAAUCCCAUGCCCCAAUGCAUUCGAUGCACCAUCAAAGCUCAUCCUCCAUGACUUUUCUUUUGAUGACUCACAUUCUUUUUCUGUAAUGCACAUUAAGUCUUCAUCUGGGAAAUCAAAUUUCAAUGGCUCGUAUUCCUUCGUUGUUCGAGUUGCUAAGAAGUCAGCUAUUGCACUCCCUUUUAUCGACUUUUGACUCACAUAGAUAAUGUCAUAUUCUGAUAGUAAGAUCUGUCAUCUUGCCAUUCUUCCUAAGAGUGCGGGUGAUUCCAUCAUGUACCUUAUUGGGUCCAACUUUGAAAUUAGCCAUGUCGUAUGAUACAGCAUAUAUUGCCUGAGUCUCCGAGCUACCCAAACCAGAGCGCAGCAGUAUUUUUCUAUGGAUGAAUACUUUGCCUCAUAUUCAGUAAACUUUUUACUGAGGUAGUAGAUCACCUUUUCUUUCUUUCCUGACUCGUCGUGUUGCCCCAGUACGCAACCCAUUGAAUUCUCGAACACAGUCAAAUAUAAUAUCAAUGGUCUUCCCAGCAUUAGCUGUACUAGCACAGGAGGAUUAGACAAAUACUGUUUUAUCUUGUCAAAAGCCACUUGGCACUCCUCGUUUCAUUCUCCGGGAUUAUGUUUUCGAAGGAGUCGAAAGAUUGGAUCGCAUUGGUUGGUAAGUUGAGCAAUAAAUCGGGCGAUGUAGUUUAACCUCCCUAAAAAUUCUCUGACUUCCUUUGGCGUGCGCGGAGGUGGUAACUCUUGAAUAGCUUUUAUUUUAUCCGGAUCAACCUCGAUACCUCUUUCACUGACAAUGAAGCCCAGCAAUUUUCCCAAGGUAGCCCCAAACGUACAUUUGGCCGGAUUGAGUUUUAGCUGGAACUUUCUCAGUCUGUCGAACAAUUUCUUCAGGUUCACUACAUGCUAUUCUUCCCCUCGGGAUUUAGCAAUCAUAUCGUCGACGUAGACCUCUAUUUCUUUAUGCAUCAUGUCAUGGAAUAACGUCACCAUAGCCCUCUGAUAUGUGGCCCCAGUAUUCUUUAACCCAAAUGGCAUCACCUUGUAGCAGAAUGUUCUCCACAUUGUUACGAAGGUAGUUUUCUCCAUAUCCUCAGGGGCCAUCUUAAUCUGAUUAUACCCUGAGAAUCUGUCCAUGAAAGAAAACAAUGAAUGUUUUACGGUGUUAUCCACAAACGUAUCAAUGUGUAGUAAGGGAAAAUUAUCUUUAGGACUUGCUCGAUUCAGGUCACGAUAAUCCACGCACAUUCGUACUUUGCCAUCUUUCUUUGGUACCGGGACUAUGUUAGCCACCCAUUCUGGAUAUUUGGAGGCUUGUAGGAAACCAGCAUCAAAUUGCUUCUUGACUUCCUCUUUUAUCUUCAACAAUAUCUCAGGUCUCAUCCGUCUUAGCUUUUGUUGAAUGGGCUUACAUUCUGGCUUUAAUGGGAGCUUAUGGACCGCUACAUCUUCUUCCAAUCCUGGCAUGUCCUGAUAUGACCAUGCGAAUACAUCUUUGUACUCACGGAGCAAAGCAAUCAAAUUAUGCCUGCUGCCCCCUGAAAUAGAAGUCCCAAUCUUCACUUCUUGCUUCCUUUCUUCAGUUCCCAGAUUUAUUGUUUCAACAGAUUCUUGAUGAGGCAAAAUCUAUUUAUCCUCUUGUUCCACCAUUCUUAGCAAGUCAGGAGACAAGACAUAGUCUUCAGCAUUUUCUUCGACUUCAAAUUCUCCUAAACAAACAGUCUUCUCAAAAUUGAUUUCAGAACUCGUAACGGGUUUGUUCAUGCUGUUGAUAUCUGAGCACCUGAAAGUUGAAUGGAAAAGGAAACUAUAGAGGGGCAUCUAAGUAUUGAAACCAACAAACUGAAUGUUAUGGUAUGACGUGAGGCAAUUGUAAAGAUAGGCUAUAAAAUGAUUAUGGAAUUAGUAAUAAUACGAAAAAAUCGUGACAAAAUGCAUCUUCAUUGAUAUUCAUUUAAAUGAUAAAGAGCGUAUGCAAGCUCUUACAAAAAGAAUUCUGUUAUAUCUGAGGACAUAACAGAAUGUUAACGUUUGAGCAUUACUCUGAAGACUUAUAAACUACAAGAAGAUCCUGGGCAGUCCAAUUGUUCAACAUGAAACCCGGGGGACAAGGGCGUAUCUUUGAGACGUCUUUAUUCGCGUCAGCUCCUUUGUCAAUGACAUUUAUACUGAUAUUCUGAAAACCCUCUUCGAUCAUUAACAUUGUGCUUUGUGCACUAUACUGCCCUGGGUAUAUUCUUGACAAAGGAGGGAAUUCCAUGGGCUCCCAUCCUGGUUCUCGGCCUAGUGUUCUUGCGAUCCUUCUUUCAUGAUCUUUCUUCCACUGCUUUCUUCUUUGACGCAUGUCCGGCUGGAACCCUAAACCGUAUCGGGCCUUGUGGUGUACUGGCUUUAGAGCUCUGACUAUUCAUUGCAGGUACCUUCCCAAACCUUUCCUUACUCCGGCUCCCUUUCUUACAGUCAAUUUGACACCCAUCUUGGCAUUUCUUGACAGUUUUGGCGCGGGAAUUCUGUUUCCCUCAACGACGAAUGUGGCAUUGACGAAUUCAAGGGAUCGGAAGGAACAUUCUACUGCGUUUUUGCUUACUUCGAGGUAGGGUGCAUCAGUAGAGAUAGAUGCGCCAAUGUCUUCUUCUCCCUCGACAGUGACCAAACAACCAUCCAUGAUAAAUUUCACCUUUUGAUGGAGGGAUGAUGGUACUGCUCCAGCAGAAUGGAUCCAAGGUCUUCCCAAGAGACAAUUGUAUGAUGGUGUAAUGUCCAUGACUUGAAACUCAACAUUGUAUAUGUAGGGACCCACUUCUAGAGGGAUCUCGAUUUUUCCUAUAACUUCUCGUCUUGUUCUAUCGAAUGCCCUUACUGUAGAAUGGCAAGGCCUUAGAUAGGACAAAUCCAUCGGAAUCCUGGAAAGUAUGGCCAAAGGCAUGACAUUGAGUGCCGAUCCAUUGUCGAUGAGCACGUUCGGUAUUAUAUAGCCCUUACAACGGGUUGUGAUAUGCAAUGCUUUCAUUGAGCCUCUACCAUUGAGCGGUAUUUCAUCGUCACUAAAGGCAAUGAAAUUAUCCGCAUUCAAGUUGUUCAUCCAUCUAUCCAGUUUUUCAACGGAUACAUUGUUUGCCACAUAAGCUUGAUUUAACACUUUCAGCGGAGCGUUCCGGUGUGGUUCUGAAUUCAACAGCAGAGAUAAUACCGAGAUUCACGCUGGAUGCUUACUCAAUUGUUCUACCACGUUGUACUCACUGUGCUUGAUAAAUUUUAAGAAUUCCUGUGCUUCCUCCUCGUCCACAGGCUUUUUAGCUUCUUGUUCAAGCACAGUUUCAUGCUCCUUUUCGGUCACGUGCAUCGGUGUUUUUCCUUUCUGUUUCAAGUCACUGUUCUUCUUCACCUCCUUCGAAUAACAUCUUCCACUACGAGUGAAAUGACCUACUUCCCUGACGCCUCCAGUCAUGGCUUUGGGUUUUUCAUCUUCAGGUGUGACGAUAUUAACGUCAUAUUUCUACGGUAUUGCUUUAUUGUCCUUGUAAGGGAAAGGAGACGGUACUUCAAUUAUCAUUUUUGGUUUCACCGGUUCUUUCCUUGCAUCGUAAUAAAUUACGAAUGGUUGAUCGACGCUAUACGGACAACUUGACGAUUGAUUGUCAGAGGCACAUACUUCUUUCUCAUUGGCCUCUCAUUGAUUAAUGACCGCAAUCUCCUUAUUAUCUAUCCGGUCUUGCAGUAACCUUUUAAAUUCCUCACAUGAUUGACUGUCGUGCCCUACAAUUCCAUGAAAAUCACAAAAAACCUGACAUUCUUUUUUGAGAUUAUCGUCGGGGUGACAGAGCAAUCCAUUCUUAACCAGUGCCUCCCAGAUUUUCUAUAGAGGUGUCCUUAUUUCUGAAACACAUCUUCUGACUUGCCAUUCAUCUUCUUUCCCCACUGUGCUCACAUUCCCUUCAGUAUGGUUAGGGAACGGGUUCCCAGUUGCAUUACUGGCACUAUCGAAUCAUAAGAUACCCGCAUCAAUUAGUCCUUGAACUCUCCUCUUAAAGGCUAGGCAAUUUUCUGUGGAAUGUCCCUGGUUUCCUGAAUGGUAUGCACAACUAGCGUUUGGGUCGUACCAUUUCGGGUAUGAGGGCCUCAAGGGUGCCAUAUAAUGCGGGGAUAUCAAUUGCUUCUCCAAAAUUUUUAGGUACAGCUCCCAUAUGACACAGGAAUAGGGGUAAAUUGUGGUUUCUCGGAAUAGGGUUUUGCUGGCCUCUGCUCGUUUUUGGGUUGGCCUUGGGCGGGUAUUGUAUUUUGUGGGAAUAUAGUGACAGGCCUUUGGUUGUUCAUGGCGUAUACGGGGUAGAAAGGAGGUGGUGCUCGGUAGUAAGGGGUCUGAGGAGGAUAAUAGAAAUUCAGAGGAGGAUAAUUUUGAGGUCGGGGUUGGUUUGAAUAUGGGUUAGGGGCAUAACGGCUUCCCAUUCCCACCAUGUGGGCUUCUGGUUCUUUCUUCUUCAUGGGCGCUGCCUUUCUUGAACUUUCUUGACCUUCCAUUCUACCGCUCUUGACGGCAUUCUCUAUAAGUUUACCGGAUAUUACAAUAUCCGCAAAGUCUUUCGUGGUACUUCCCACUAGUUUGUCAUAAAACGGUACUUUCAAAGUGUUGAUGAAAAGAACGGUUAUCUCUAUUUUCGUUAAUGGGGGUUACACUUGGGCUGAGACAUCCUUCCAUCUCUGCGCAUAUUGUCUAAAAGUUUCUGACGGCUUUUUCUCCAUCAUUUGCAAAGUCAUCCGGUCAGGUACCAUAUUCGAUACAUGCUUGUAUUGCUCACAGAAUGCUGAUGCCAAGUCCUUCCAAGAUCGGAUCAUUUCCCUACUAAGCUGGUUGUACCACCGAAAAGCUGAUCCUACUAGACUGUCCUGAAAACAAUGUAUGAGUAGCUGGUCUUCAUUCACGUAACCAGUCAUUUUUCGGCAAAACAUAACAAGUUGUGCCUUUGGACAUCUCGUGCCAUCGUAUUUUUCGAAAUCAGGCACCUUGAACUUCGGAGGCAGAACUAGAUCGGGCACCAAACUGAGCUCUUUGGCACUUAGUGCAGAGAAGGCUUCAGUACCCUCUAUUGCUUUGAGUCUUUCCUCUAAGCUCCUAUACUUCUCUUGAGCCUCAAGAUCGUCCAUUCUCAACCUGGCUAUUUUCACUGGAUUGUCCAAAUCUAGAACAAUUGGAUUGGCGGGAUUAGCUCCAGAAUUUGAUAUGAAUAUUCCUUGCCCUAAAUGAGUAUGUGGCACUGGCCGUUGCUCUGGGUCUGUGGGUUCUCCUUGGGUGUACCCUCUUUAUGCUGCGCGGGCGUGUGGUGGAGUGAAUCCGGGGGGAUAGAGCGAGUCUUGAUUGUGAUUAACUCUUGACCGAGAUUCCUCGAUGUUAGGGCUCUGCAUGAAUCCCUUUCCUUUAACUAAAGCUGACAUCAUCUCCAUCAUCUUGGCCAUUUGAUCCUUCUGUUCGAGCGAUUCUUCUCGUGAUCUCACCAUUAAGUCUCUCGUCUCUUGCUAUGACCUAGCCAACUGCUCUUGUAAUUCCUUUUGGAUUCUUUCCAUUCUUUCAAUCCUUUCAUUGAAUUUAGCCUCCAUUGUUCUAGUUUGCCGACGUGUUCUAUACGAGUGGCGUGGUUCCAGAUUUGAAAUAUUACAACUGCGAAUUGUACAUUUUAACUUCAGCAAAUGAGUACGGGAUAUGCCAUGAAUGAAUGAAUAAAUGCAUGAAUGCUUGAAUGCCAAAUGAAUAUUAGUCAUGAAUGACAUGUAAGAAAUUGGUGUUGAUUUCAAGAUAGCCCCUAUUUAGGUAUUUCAUUCAUCAAAAAAGUUUAUUACAAAACAUUUUGCCAUUUUUGAUUCAGCUAUUACAUAAACUUUCUAGCUAUAUCGCCAUAUUUCUUUUUUCGCUCUAGGAAUUCCGAUAUGCUCGAUCGUUGGCUUGGUGGGAAUUGGCAACUGAGAUUUUCAACUUCUUCUGAUAAUUGUACCACGUGCAUGGCUACCCCACGAACUUCAUUGAUCAAAUAGCUAAGUUGCCUUUCUUUUUUCUGGAGGCCCUCUUCGCAAGCACGAACGUCUUUAUCAUACUGACAAUCUUUUUCUUCCAAAGCCUUCAAGAGAGUAUCUAACUGUUGUUGAUGAUCUUACAGCAUAUCUUCUAACUCUCGUAUCCUUUCUUUUAGUUCUUGACGUUUAGAUCGACUAGUCAUCACCUCGGCAGACACUACUUCAUAUUCGGCGUUCUUCUUCCUCAAUCCUAUCAUAGCUCGCGCAGCCUUUUCUUCCUCUUUCUUUGCUUUUCCUUUCCAAAAUUCCAUCCCUCCUUUAAUGUUGCUUAUCUCCUCUUUCCAUUCUACCGAUGACUUGCCCAACCACUAUUUUUCAUUGUGCCUCUUAACUUUUUAUUUUCCAGAUGGAGGUCUCUUAAGUCAUUUCUCACGACUUCAACUUCUUUUUGUACUUUCUCGGUUCUGGAUCUUUCAAUCUGAAUGUCGAUCUUCAAUUGGUAGUUUUCUUCUUGAAGGGCACUAAGGUCCCGAGACAUCUUGGCAUUUUCUCGUUCAAAUUCUUGUCUUGCUAUUUCUAGCUCAGACGGCAUUUCCUCUGAGAAAGGAUUCUGGACGAUGGAGUUUGUUGACGAGAUUUGCUGACUAUUUAUCCGUUACUUCCUCCAUAUGUUGUAAUCUUGAGUUAGGGUAUCAGCAUAUAAGGCCAAUUCCAUUAGAUGAAUUUUCUUCCAAGAUUUUGCAUUAUCUCGGACCUUCUUCAUAUAUCCUUCACCCACGAAAGCGAACUCGGAUUGUACCAAUCCUCCAGUGGCGGGUAUGAAUUGCCGCGAAGAAAAUUGCCUUUGGACUAAUAAUGGGGCAUAUCCGACUCCUCCCCAUAAUCCGAGUAGUGGCACCCAAUCUUGAUCUCCGACCUUGUAUAGCAGAACUGACGGGCGUAUCCAUGGGGCUCUCCAAGUUACGUCAUCGGCGCGAAGAUUCUGAAAGACUGAGACCCAGUGUUGUUCAGUGACCUUCUUCGGCCAUUCUUUCUUGAGAUAAGCUUCUAACGAAGAGAAUGUUUUAGAAAACAUAUGAAACGGUGUGCGCUCUACUUUCCAGAAGUGGCUCAGAAUCCAAACAUUAAGUAACUGCGCGCAUCCGAUAAAAUGACCUUCCCCUUUCUUCCUACAGCUACUUAGUGAUCUGAAGGUUUCGGCCAGGAUAGUUAGGACAGGGUUGAUUCCUUGUUUUAAUCUUUCGAAGAAAUCUACCACCGUAACUUCUAUGUGUCCAAGGACCUUCGGAAAGAUGAUCAAACUGUAAAUGGCCAGAGCGAACAGAUUUACCCUUUUCAACAUGUCGGGAUGGUUCAGAACCAAGUCUCGUAGGGAAGACCAUGGGAUACAAAUGGUUUUAUUCUUCUUCUUUAUCUGUUUUUCGACCCACGCGUCAAUCAUGUCUGUCACUCUUACUAACUUUUUCUAGAAGGUCAUUGGCUUAGGCUCUUUCACAUAUAUCUUAUAGGGUUGUAUAUUAUCGACACGGAGCAAAGCAGUGUACUCUUCUAUAGUCGGGGUCAUGUCUUCCUGAUUGAAAGUAAAACAGUGGUAGGCUGGAUCCCAAAAUCUGACCAUGGCUUGGAUCAAUCGUUCGUCUACGCUGACAGCAAUCAAGUUGGCUAUGUCUCCAUAUCUCUCGACGAAGAUACCUCUAGUAUCCGAGUCCCACUGAUUCCAAACCCGAACCAAAUCUUCAAGGUUAUUCUGGUGAACAUUUACAGUUACGUGCUCGGGCAAAUUGGCAAUACAUCCCUCCACUAGACUAUCCCAUUUUUCUUUCUGAGUUUUUAGAGACCAAUCUCGGACUACGGCAUUUUCCUCGGUUGUUUUUAUAAUUGACUCUUCCAUUAGAAACUCGUUUUUUGGCAACCGAUCUUUAGUCAACACCUUUCUAAUAUGAUGCCUAUAAUGCAUGAUGAAAAACAAUACGGCAAAGACAAAUAAUCUUGAUUAGUAAUUAAAUACAGACAUAAAAAAUAUAGAAAAUUGAACGAAUGAAAUUACCCAAAUCUAGUUUAUUAAACAGACUCAAUCCCCUUUGUAUAUACAGUGAAAAUGCAAAAGGCAAGAAGCGUUCCUCCCGUACACUUAUUUUGCUGACUACUAAACGGACGGAGGUUUAGCAUGGCUCUAGUUAGGUGGCUCGUAUGGUUCAUUAUAUGCGGUUUUGGUUCUAGAUAGGUACUCAAAUUGUCCGUACUGUCAUCUGCUAAGAUUAGUACGAAGCCUUGGUCAUAGCCCAUCACAGACUCACGAGUUCAAUUCGAGGGAUUACAUUUACUUAUGCCUAUACGGAGGGACAAGUUAACUCACGAAAGCAUAAGUCAUAUGUAACCCGAAAGUAUUCACUAGCCUGUACGGAGGGACGAGUUAACCCACGAAGGCGUAGCAUUUACUUUCACUUAAACGGACGGGGCCCGGGUUGAGAGCUCAUGUUAUGCGAAAUGCAAGUGCACGGUGCGUAGGGAGAAACUUGCAAACCUUUCAUUUAUUUUAAAACUACAAAACUAAAACCGUAAAACUUAAAGCUGAAAAACAAAAGAUAAAACAAAUUAGGAGAUAUGUAUGUAUGAUUUUUUUUGAAAACAAAACUUAAGAAUCAUGAUUAAAUAUUAAUUUGAACACGGAAAUUUGAAAAUUUUGACAACACGCGUUUAAUUCAACUCGACUCUCAAAAAUGAAAGUCCCCAGUGGAGUCGCCAACUGUAGCGACGUAAAAAUGUUUAGCUUUGGUCGCUAAUUGUGGCGAUUUAUUGAAAACUUGAAAACUGAAGUUUGAUUUUAAAAUAAAGAGGGAGUCGCCACCGAUCCUUUUUCCUAGGUGUGAUCGGACACCUAUUAGAUUUAUUUUUUAAAACAAAAGGAAGGUCGAGUUUAGGUCUACGUCAAAAAUCCAGAGAAAAAUAAGGUUCGGGAGUCGGUUACGCGCGGGGAAGGUAUUAGCACCCUCGCGACGCCCAAAAUUGGUAUCUUAUAAACACGUGUUGUCUUGAUUUUCAAAAAUGCGAGUUCAAUGUAAUAUUUAGUCGUGAUCCGAUUAAAAAGACGAAAAAUUUUAGUUUUAUUUUUUUUGGUUUUUUAGAAGGGUGUUCCGCAUUUAGCACGAGCCGACAAAUUCCACCCAACAUAGCGAUGAAAUCUAUGACUUAAUGUUAAAUCGGCACGUUGCUUUAUUUAUUGAAAUUAAUUAAAACAUAAGAAAAAACUAUUUCUAAAGUGAGAAUUUAAAAAUAGAUAAACGACGCAAACAAUGAUAUCAUUAAUGAAAAAUUUUAACAUGGAAUACUAGAAAUUAUUAUAACAAUAAUAAUGAUAUUUGUAAAAAAAGAAAAUAAAAAUAAAUCGUGUACUAAUAAUAAGAAAAAAUGAUAUAUUUGGUAAUAAUAAUAUAAAAUAAUAUGUACAUAAAAGAUACUUCAUAUAUAUGCAUAUAAUAAGAGUAUAUAAUAAUAUCUACAAUAAAAGAAAAUAUUAGGAAAUGUACAAAAAAUAUAUAUAUAAAAUAUUUACAAUAAUGAUGUAAAUAAACAACAUAUAAAAUAUUUGAAAUAACAUAUAAAUGAAACAUUUAAAAAAAAGGUUAAUAAAUGAAUUAAAUAGAUUUAGGACAUGGCUAAAAACAAAUUAAAAUUCAGGAUAUAAAAGUAUAAAUAUUGGAUAGUUAAUUAGGGAUCAAAACGAAAACCAAACAAGAUCUGAGGGCCAAAUUUAAAAAAACAAAAGAAGAUAGAAAAUGAGGGUUAAUUGAAUGAGGUUGCGAGAGAGGAGGACUAAACGCAUAAAUUUCCCUUUUAGGGAAAGUGCACAGACCCCACCCACCAAACAAAAUAGUGCCUUUUCAACACCAUUAUUUUAAAACAAAGAUUUUUUUUUGUGUUUCAUUUUCAACCCCCAAUCUUAAAAAAAACAAAAAAAACUUCCAUGCUCUCUUCCCCUCCCCCUUUUUCUUUCUGUCGAUUGGGUUCCUUAGAGACCCGCCCUACCCCCAACGACGACGGUGAUGACCGCCGUGUACAACGAAGCAGCGCAACCUAGGUACUCCUACUUUAAAAUUUUUUUAUGUUUCUUGGUUAAAAAAAAAGUUUUCUUGAAAUAAAAAGGAAAAAAAAACAAUGAAUAAAUAUAAAAAAAAACAAGGUAAGCAGAGAACAAAAAGAAGAGAAAAGGAAAAAAAGAACAAAACUAAACCUCUUGAACCUUCCUUCUCUUUUUUGUUUUCAUAUCCGUUUUUAUUUCCAAUAUCUGUGUUACAAUCUUUCUUUUAAAAAAAAUAAACCCCCCCUUUUACAACAUUUUUGAAUGGCUUUUUAUAGCCAUCUUUUACAAGUUUUUUUAUUACUUUUGCCAUAUUUUCCCGUCUUGCUUGUUUGCUCUAUUUUUGUAGGGUAUGGGGGCGACUGGUGGAGCAGGUGAUGGUGGCUGGUGUCAGAGGAAAGUGGGGAGGUGGCUAGGGUUUUUUCUUUGCUGGAAAAUGUUUAGUAGGUUAGUUUAGGUGGGCUGUUGGUUUAGAUUGGGUUUGAUGAUGUUGGGCUGAUGAAAUUGGGGUGGGUAUUUGGUUGUAUUUGGGCCAAAAUUGGCCUACAACAGUAUGUAUGUAAACUAUAUAUAAUGUUUGAUAGUGAGAAUAUAACUAAUAAUGUUAAAAUAUAUACAUAAUAUAUACAUGUAUACAUAUGAAAAAUGUGUGCACAUGACGUAUAUGAAAAAUAUAUACAUAGUAAUAUAAAAUAAUAAGUGAUGAUAGUAAAACUAAUGGGUAUAAUAAUUAUAAUGAUAUACGAAAAUAAUACUAUAUAUAAAAUAUGCAUACAAGUAUAAUAAAAUAUAUGUCUUGAUAUUAAUAACAAAC
rnacentral:lncRNA from 1 species